rnacentral:rRNA from 1 species
UACAGAGGUCUCAAGCGUUGUUCGGAUUCAUUGGGCGUAAAGGGUGCGUAGGUGGCGCCGUAAGUCGGGUGUGAAAUUUCGGAGCUUAACUCCGAAACUGCAUUCGAUACUGCGGUGCUUGAGGACUGGAGAGGAGACUGGAAUUCAUGGUGAGCAGUGAAAUGCGUAGAGAUCAUGAGGAAGACCAGUGGCGAAGGCGGGUCUCUGGACAGUUCCUGACACUGAGGCACGAAGGCCAGGGGAGCAAACGGG